rnacentral:rRNA from 1 species
GAUGAACGCUGGCGGCGUGCCUAAUACAUGCAAGUCGAGCGAACAGACGAGGAGCUUGCUCCUCUUACGUUAGCGGCGGACGGGUGAGUAACACGUGGAUAACCUACCUAUAAGACUGGGAUAACUUCGGGAAACCGGAGCUAAUACCGGAUAAUAUAUUGAACCGCAUGGUUCAAUAGUGAAAAACGGUUUUGCUGUCACUUAUAGAUGGAUCCGCGCCGCAGUAGCUAGUUGGUAAGGUAACGGCUUACCAAGGCAACGAUGCGUAGCCGACCUGAGAGGGUGAUCGGUCACACUGGAACUGAGACACGGUCCAGACUCCUACGGGAGGCAGCAGUAGGGAAUCUUCCGCAAUGGGCGAAAGCCUGACGGAGCAACGCCGCGUGAGUGAUGAAGGUCUUCGGAUCGUAAAACUCUGUUAUUAGGGAAGAACAAAUGUGUAAGUAACUAUGCACGUCUUGACGGUACCUAAUCAGAAAGCCACGGCUAACUACGUG